rnacentral:misc_RNA from 1 species
UAGACAGGAACAUCAGUAGGAUAAUCCUGUGGGUGUUUUCGAACUGUUUCACGAAUAGAUACUUCUUGUUCUUGGAGGUUGGCUGGAGAAACAUCAUAUACAUCUGUAAAUACAUCCUUAAUUGGGGGCUUCUCUUGUUUUUCUGCAACUUGAAUGGCUUGCAGUACCUGCUUUCUGAUAUUACUGCGAAGGUCGGAUUCAACCUGAGGGUUCAACCAGCCUUCUCUUUCAAUCCAUUUCUUAAAUCUGCUUACAGGGUCUCUUUCUCUUCUCCACCAUUCGAUUUCUUUAGCUGGACGAUAUUUGGUUGAGUCAUCUGAGGUCGAAUGAUGUCCUGCUCUAUAAGUAAGAGCCUCAACUAGAAUAGGUUUACAUUCAUUAACAGCCAUUUUUCGUGCCUCAUGGACAGCAGUGAAAACAGCAAGAGCAUCAUUACCAUCCACACGAAUACUACGAAUUCCAUAGCCCUGUCCUUUGGUAACAACACCGUCACUUCUAAACUGGUCACUAACAGGUGUGCUUAUGGCAAACCCAUUGUUCCGGCAGAAAAAGAUAACGGGUGCAUCUAACACCGCGGCAAAGUUCAGAGCAG